GGGGCUAUAGCUCAGUUGGGAGAGCGCCUGGAUCGCACCCAGGAGGUCGCCGGUUCGAGUCCGGCUAGCUCCA
rnacentral:tRNA from 6 species